GAAAUGCGAUAAGUAAUGUGAAUUGCAGAAUUCAGUGAAUCAUCGAAUCUUUGAACGCACAUUGCGCCCGUUAGCAUUCUAGCGGGCAUGCCUGUCCGAGCGUCAUUUCAACCCUCAGGGUCCCCGUUCCGGCGGGGAACCUGGUGUUGGGGAUCGGCCCGCCCCGUGCGGCGCCGUCCCCCAAAUUCAGUGGCGGUCUCGCUGCAGCCUCCCCUGCGUAGUAGUUACAACCUCGCAUCGGAGCUCAGCGCGGCCACGCCGUAAAACCCCCGACUUUCUGAACGUUGACCUCGGAUCAGGUAGGAAUACCCGCUGAACUUAA
rnacentral:misc_RNA from 1 species